rnacentral:snRNA from 1 species
UCUCUCACCGACAGAUGAUACUAUGAUCAUGAGGUGGUUUUCCCAGGGUAAGGCUCAUCCAUUGCACUCCAGGUGUGCUGACUCCUGUGAUUUCCCCAAUUGCAGGAAACUCAACUACAUAACUUGUAGUAGUGGGAGACUAUUUGCAUUUUCCCCUG